UAUUGGACAAUGGGGGGAACCCUGAUCCAGCCAUGCCGCGUGUGUGAAGAAGGCCUUUUGGUUGUAAAGCACUUUAAGCGAGGAGGAGGCUACCGAGAUUAAUACUCUUGGAUAGUGGACGUUACUCGCAGAAUAAGCACCGGCUAACUCUGUGCCAGCAGCCGCGGUAAUACAGAGGGUGCAAGCGUUAAUCGGAUUUACUGGGCGUAAAGCGCGCGUAGGUGGCCAAUUAAGUCAGAUGUGAAAUCCCCGAGCUUAACUUGGGAAUUGCAUUCGAUACUGGUUGGCUAGAGUAUGGGAGAGGAUGGUAGAAUUCCAGGUGUAGCGGUGAAAUGCGUAGAGAUCUGGAGGAAUACCGAUGGCGAAGGCAGCCAUCUGGCCUAAUACUGACACUGAGGUGCGAAAGCAUGGGGAGCAAACAGG
rnacentral:rRNA from 1 species